rnacentral:snoRNA from 1 species
ACCCAAGAUCUGCCACUUUUUAGUUGUGUGACCUUGGGCAUGUUACUUAACCUCUCUGUGCCUCUGUUUCCUCAUCAGCAAAAUGAGGAUGUUAUUAUGUAUCUAAUAGAGUUGUGAAAACUAGAG